rnacentral:lncRNA from 1 species
CAUGAAUGAGGUCAAUAUUAAGAUCACUUCUGUUGAAGUGUUAGUAUGAAAAGAACCCGUUAUCUUUUGACAGCAGUGUGUUAGGACUUCUGUUUGCAUGUCAAGUGUUUCUUUAAUGUCCUUCAGGUACACACUCAAGACCUUAAGUUUGAGAGCAAAAAAAUAUCAAAUGUUUGACAUCAUAAAAAAAUUAAAGGGCCUUAUAUUUUAUGUACAACUUUAAUUGUAAUUCUAAAGAAUUUUACAAAACUUGUAUUAGAAUUGAUUAUGGUUUCAUGGUCUGGUGCAGCUGCAUCUUACAUCAAUACCAAA